rnacentral:tRNA from 1 species
CGGGGCGUGGCGCAGUUUGGCAGCGCACUUGGUUUGGGACCAAGGGGUCGCCGGUUCAAAUCCGGCCGCCCCGACCA